rnacentral:rRNA from 1 species
UACGAAGGGUGCAAGCGUUACUCGGAAUUACUGGGCGUAAAGCGCGCGUAGGCGGUUUGUUAAGUCUGGUGUGAAAGCCCCGGGCUCAACCUGGGAAUGGCAGUGGAUACUGGCAAGCUAGAGUGCGAUAGAGGGGAGUGGAAUUCCCGGUGUAGCGGUGAAAUGCGUAGAGAUCGGGAGGAACACCAGUGGCGAAGGCGGCACCCUGGAUCAGCACUGACGCUCAGGCGCGAAAGCGUGGGGAGCAAACAGG